rnacentral:rRNA from 1 species
UAUGGCUCAGGAUGAACGCUAGCGGCAGGCUUAAUACAUGCAAGUCGUACGGGAUCCGAGGUAGCAAUACUUUGGUGAGAGUGGCGCACGGGUGCGUAACACGUAUGCAACCUACCUUUAACCGGGACACAACCUCGAGAAAUUGAGGCUAAUAUCCCAUAACACUGCGAAAUGGCAUCAUUUUGCAGUUAAAACUCCGGUGGUUAUUGAUGGGCAUGCGCGACAUUAGCUAGUUGGUGAGGUAACGGCCCACCAAGGCUACGAUGUCUAGGGGUUCUGAGAGGAUUAUCCCCCACACUGGUACUGAGACACGGACCAGACUCCUACGGGAGGCAGCAGUAAGGAAUAUUGGUCAAUGGGCGCAAGCCUGAACCAGCCAUGCCGCGUGAAGGAUGACGGCCCUAUGGGUUGUAAACUUCUUUUGUACGGGAAAAAACCACCGGUCGUGUAUCGGUGCUGAUGGUACCGUAAGAAUAAGCAUCGGCUAACUCCGUGCCAGCAGCCGCGGUAAUACGGAGGAUGCAAGCGUUAUCCGGAUUCAUUGGGUUUAAAGGGUGCGCAGGCGGAGUGAUAAGUCAGUGGUGAGAGCCUACAGCUUAACUGUAGAACUGCCAUUGAUACUGUCAUUCUUGAGUAUUGUUGAGGUAGGCGGAAUGUGUCAUGUAGCGGUGAAAUGCUUAGAUAUGACACAGAACACCGAUCGCGAAGGCAGCUUACCAAGCAAUAACUGACGCUCAUGCACGAAAGCGUGGGGAUCAAACAGGAUUAGAUACCCUGGUAGUCCACGCCGUAAACGAUGAUCACUCGAUGUUGGCGAUACACAGUCAGCGUCUUAGGGAAACUAUUAAGUGAUCCACCUGGGGAGUACGGUCGCAAGAUUGAAACUCAAAU